UACGACGGGGGCGAGCGUUGUUCGGAAUUACUGGGCGUAAAGGGCGCGCAGGCGGUCCUUCAAGUCAGAUGUGAAAGCCCCGGGCUCAACCUGGGAACUGCAUUUGAGACUGGAGGACUUGAGGACGGGAGAGGAGAGUGGAAUUCCCAGUGUAGAAGGUGAAAUUCGUAGAUAUUGGGAAGAACACCGAUGGCGAAGGCAGCUCUCUGGACCGUUACUGACGCUGAGGCGCGAAAAGCGUGGGGAGCAAACAGGG
rnacentral:rRNA from 1 species